rnacentral:rRNA from 1 species
UACGGAAGGUCCGGGCGUUAUCCGGAUUUAUUGGGUUUAAAGGGAGCGUAGGCCGCUUUGUAAGUGUGUUGUGAAAUUUGCCGGCUCAACCGGUAACUUGCAGCGCGAACUGCAGAGCUUGAGUGUGCGCAACGUUGGCGGAAUUCGUCGUGUAGCGGUGAAAUGCUUAGAUAUGACGAAGAACUCCGAUUGCGAAGGCAGCUGACGGGAGCACUACUGACGCUGAAGCUCGAAAGUGCGGGUAUCGAACAGGAUUAGAUACCCUGGUAGUCCGCACGGUAAACGAUGGAUGCCCGCUGUUUGCACAUAGUUGCAAGCGGCCAAGCGAAAGCGUUAAGCAUCCCACCUGGGGAGUACGCCGGCAACGGUGAA